rnacentral:lncRNA from 1 species
GAGAGAUAAAUAAAAUUUUAAGUAUGAUCAAUGAUUUAAUUAAUAGAUAUUGAGGUUCUAAAACUAUCCUAAGAUUGGUUUGAAUUGGUUAGAUUUUGAUUAGGAUUUGUUUAAGAAUUGAUUAGAAUUUAGAAUUUGAUUAGAAUUUGAUUUAGGAUUUGAUUAGAAUUUGAUUUAGGAUUUGAUUAGAAUUUGAUUUAAGAUUUUAUUAGAAUUUGAUUUAGGAUUUAGGAUCUAAUUAGGAUUUAUUUAGAAUUUAAGAUCUAAUUGGGAUUGAUUAAGGAUUUAGAAUUUCUGUAGGAUUUCUUUAAGAAUUUUUUUGGAUCUUUUUUUGGAUUUCUUUAGUAUUUCUUUUUUUAUUUCUUUUAGAUUUUUUUAGGUUUCUUUA